rnacentral:rRNA from 1 species
UUGAACGCUGGCGGCAGGCCUAACACAUGCAAGUCGAGCGGCCAGCGCUUAACUGAACCUUCGGGGAACGUUAAGGGCGGCGAGCAGGCGGACGGGUGAGUAAUGCCUGGGAAUAUGCCCUGAUGUGGGGGAUAACUAUUGGAACGAUAGCUAAUACCGCAUAAUCUCUUCGGAGCAAAGAGGGGGACCUUCGGGCCUCUCGCGUCAGGAUUAGCCCAGGUGGGAUUAGCUUGUUGGUGAGGUAAUGGCUCACCAAGGCAACGAUCCCUAGCUGGUCUGAGAGGAUGAUCAGCCACACUGGAACUGAGACACGGUCCAGACUCCUACGGGAGGCAGCAGUGGGGAAUAUUGCACAAUGGGGGAAACCCUGAUGCAGCCAUGCCGCGUGUGUGAAGAAGGCCUUCGGGUUGUAAAGCACUUUCAGUAGGGAGGAAGGUAGUGUAGUUAACACCUGCACUAUUUGACGUUACCUACAGAAGAAGCACCGGCUAACUCCGUGCCAGCAGGCCGC